GUUUGGUGGCGAUAGCGAAGAGGUCACACCCGUUCCCAUGCCGAACACGGAAGUUAAGCUCUUCAGCGCCGAUGGUAGUCGGGGGUUUCCCCCUGUGAGAGUAGGACGCCGCCAAGCC
rnacentral:rRNA from 1 species